rnacentral:misc_RNA from 1 species
GAUGAAGAACGCAGCGAAAUGCGAUAAGUAAUGUGAAUUGUAGAAUUCAGUGAAUCAUCGAAUCUUUGAACGCACAUUGCGCCCGCCAGCACUCUGGCGGGCAUGCCUGUUCGAGCGUCAUUUCAACCAUCAAGCCCCCAGGGGCUUGUGCUGGGGCCCUGCGGCUGCCCGCAGGCCCUGAAAACCAGUGGCGGGCUCGCUAGUCACACCGAGCGCAGUAGCACAUCUCGCUCAGGGCGUGCGGCGGGCUCCUGCCGUGAAACCCCCCACUGUAACCCCAAAGGUUGACCUCGGAUCAGGUAGGAAUACCCGCUGAACUUAAGCAUAUCAAUAAGCGGAGGA